rnacentral:rRNA from 1 species
UGGGGAAUAUUGGACAAUGGGGGCAACCCUGAUCCAGCAAUGCCGCGUGUGUGAAGAAGGUCUUCGGAUUGUAAAGCACUUUCGACGGGGACGAUGAUGACGGUACCCGUAGAAGAAGCCCCGGCUAACUUCGUGCCAGCAGCCGCGGUAAUACGAAGGGGGCUAGCGUUGCUCGGAAUGACUGGGCGUAAAGGGCGUGUAGGCGGUUUACACAGUCAGAUGUGAAAUCCCCGGGCUUAACCUGGGAGCUGCAUUUGAUACGUGUAGACUAGAAUGUGAGAGAGGGUUGUGGAAUUCCCAGUGUAGAGGUGAAAUUCGUAGAUAUUGGGAAGAACACCGGUGGCGAAGGC